GGCAUAUGUAGAUGCACACACUAUCUACAAAAGAAAUAAAACUACACUAGACAUAUUUUUGGAUUUUGGUUAGUAAAUAAAGAAAAUAAUGUAUGAUACAAUCAAACAUGUUUGGUGAUCUCCCAAUGCAAACCCAAUGAAUGAUGUGUGAGGAGGAUACCAAGGUGUUAUCCCAAUGCUAAUGCCAAGUUAAUGAGAUGGCAUGAGGGAUCUUAGGGUCAAAAUAGGGGUCUUACAGCUGCCCCUAAGGUCAUUGUAUUAGGGGAUGAGAAGGUUAAAAUCUUC
rnacentral:lncRNA from 1 species